AUGACCUCCUCCUUGGCUGAAGAUUCUGCCUUUAUUGGCUCGAAUGUCAAUGUGUUCAACGUUCAGAGAUGCCCCAAACCUCCUUGUGUGCAAAAGCAGGCACUGGAAGAAUACCAACAGAUGUAAGAAGAAUCUCAGUGAGGUAUACUGAUAAAGGAGCGGAGUCUGACAACUGUAUGGUUUUGGAGCACAGGAGUGAAAUCUCUCUGGAAGUCUUGGAAACACCAUGCAUUUCACAACAGAAUUUGCACGGCUUCAUGCAAACGGAAAACGGGCCUGCUGUGCUAAAUGGGCACUCCCAGUGUAGGCACAAGGAGAAGCCUUUUGAAAGUCAUCUUCUGGUGAACUAG
rnacentral:lncRNA from 1 species